UACAGAGGGGGCAAGCGUUAUUCGGAAUUAUUGGGCGUAAAGGGCGCGUAGGCGGCCUUGCAAGUGGCGGGUGAAAUCCCUCGGCUUAACCGAGGAACUGCCUGCCAGACUGCUUGGCUUGAGACCGGGAGAGGUGAGUGGAAUUCCCAGUGUAGCGGUGAAAUGCGUAGAUAUUGGGAGGAACACCAGUGGCGAAGGCGGCUCACUGGACCGGAACUGACGCUGAGGCGCGAAAGCGUGGGUAGCAAACAGG
rnacentral:rRNA from 1 species